rnacentral:miRNA from 1 species
CAAAAACAACAAUUACAUUU